GAUCCUCUGAGAUUAUAGCAUUAUUUGAAUUUUCCCUCAUCAAGAUUUUCCUUAUUCAUUCUACAGUUGAUAUAAAUGCAGGUGAAGAAAUGGAAUCCACAUCUAUAGAGAGCAUCAUACCUGAGGAAAAGCAGGUGAAGAAGCCAUAUGAGUACAGGACUCCUCGUAGAAGUUUGGCUGACGAAAUUAUUACUGCAUCUGCUGGAGCCAGCACAGAAGGACAUUAAGUGUUUAGAGGGGAGACGCCCUGGGAGCGUCACAUCCAUGGAAGAGUACUGAGAUGACUUCACCUGGCUCUCUACAGCCCCAAACCUGCUCAUGGAGACAGACUGGGGAGACAAUCAGCAGGUCAUUAGCGUACCGUACAAAUCACCUUGGACUCAGGAUGGAACCCUGGGGACCUGAAGCUGCAAUAGACUGCAGAGAAGACAUGGUAUUGCUGACAGUUACCUCUGAUGGCAGUUAAAAAGGUAUGAUUGCAACCACAUGACAGCUGAAUACAACAGAUCCCUGAGCUGUUCGCAUGGCACAUUCUGAUUAGUGGUAUCAGUAAUCAUUAUGAAUU
rnacentral:lncRNA from 1 species